rnacentral:rRNA from 1 species
GCCAUCUCAGUUCGGAUUGCAGCCUGCAACUCGGCUGCAUGAAGCUGGAAUCGCUAGUAAUCGCAGAUCAGAAUGCUGCGGUGAAUACGUUCCCGGGUCUUGUACACACCGCCCGUCACACCAUGGGAGUUGGAAAUGCCCGAAGUCAGUGACCGAACCGAAAGGAAGGAGCUGCCGAAGGUGGAGCCGAUGACUGGGGUGAAGUCGUAACAAGGUACC